UGUGCGUGUGUGUGUGUACGAGCAGAGGAGAAGAAAAGAAGGGGGAGCCCUUCUCAAACCCUAAGCAACGAAUUGGAAGGAUUCUGGCCGAAAUCGAACCUGCAUGAACCUUAAUAGUGAUAAUCUAAGCAAGAUGUAACCAAGGAACGUGUCAAGGAGAGCUCAAGCAUAGGAGGAUAACGGGUCAAGAUAAGGCAAGGUGACAAAUACACUUAUUGGAGUACUCAAGGUAAGUGAUUUCUGUAAUCACUUCUUAUUUUAUUUAAGUAAAGUAGCGUUAGUUGAUUAAGCAUGAUGAGGUUUGAAGUUUCAUAUGGUUUUGGCCGUAUGAAAUUGGUAAUUUUAGCUUAGUAGACCGAAUGGGACAAUAUAAGGUUGUAAUGAUAUGACGAAUAAUGUCUAUGUAAUGGCUACGGUAUGUAACCGGGUAAUGGCUAAAAUUUGCACAUAAGUGCACCAACCGAGAAUGGGGACUUAGGUUAAUGGGUCAAAGUGAAGGUAUACUUUAGCACGAAACGUUUGUACAAGCAAUGUCGAUAGUAUUUCAUGUGCCCGGUUAGUGUAAGGUGUUAUAACAUUAACAUUAUGUGAGCCUUAAGUGUAAACAUAUGAGUUGUUGAUAAAUGCAUGACGGGUCGAAUAAUUCGUAAUGAAUAAUAAGCCGAAAAUGUAUAAGUUAAGAAUUUCCUAACCCGGAUGUUGGAUUUUAAGUUCACAUAAUAGAAUGUUAGUUUACAAUCAUGCAGGAAGAAACGUGAGGUUAAUCGGGUAAACGGUUUAAAAGCUAUGCAAGUUUUUGUGCGUGCGAACGACAAAACAACACAGCAGAAAAAUGGCAAAACUAGAGGCCGUCGCCGACGCCCCUAUGGGCCGUCGCCGACGCCUUGUGCAUUUUUAGUUUUCUCCGACGCCUAAUUUUCCUGUCUACGGAGGUUUCUGGCUACGCGAAAAACUAAUAGCCGUCGCCGACGCCCUAUAGGGCCGUCGCCGACGGCCUCCACAUGUUUUAAAUGCUGAAAUUCGUUAAUUAAGUUAUUGUGUGUACCGUAAGCUUCGGUAUAUUAACCGUGGUCUACGAUGGGCCUCCCAAACAUAAUUUUGAAUGUUUCCUUGAUGUUUUUGGAUCAUAAAUCCAAGUCUAAGCACUCCAUAAUUAAUGUACGAGUAUGAUAAGUGAAUGCGAAUAAGUUAAAUCAAGAAUUGAAUGUAAGUAAGUAUGUGUAGACAUGAUUAUGUAAGCAUUUAGUUAUGUAUAUAGAUAAGUAGAUGUGUAGAUAUGUAGGUGCGUAUGAUUAGACGUAUGAAUAUACGAAUGCACGAAGUAGGAUUUAUCGCCUAUGAAAAGAAUGGGACAGGUAUGUAUAUAUACAUGGUUUCAAUACGUUUGAGUAUGGACGUUACUAAUGAUGUGCUUGAGAUUGGGAUGUAAUGCAGGAAUGAGAACGUCAGACUCUUGUAGAAUUGAAGCCGAACCUGGAAGUCGAACUCGAAACAAAGGAAUCCGAGAGGAUAGUCGAAUGAAUUAGAGUUUAUGUUGUACUACACGGAUUUCUUCUACCACUAUCGAAGAUAAGCGGGCAUAGAUCGAGUCGAAUAACAAGGAUUGUACGGAAAGAACGGUUACGUAGUCUUAAUUUUGUAACGCAUUAAUUUGUAAAAAGGGGAAGUGAAUUUUGUAAGCUUCUUCUUGAAUGUGUGUAUUAUUUUAAAGAUCGUAAAGGAAUUUUUUUA
rnacentral:lncRNA from 1 species